rnacentral:rRNA from 1 species
GAGUUUGAUCCUGGCUCAGGAUGAACGCUAGCGGCAGGCCUAACACAUGCAAGUCGAACGGCAGCACGAACUUCGGUUUGGUGGCGAGUGGCGCACGGGUGCGUAACGCGUAUAGAACUUACCCUCUACAGGGGGAUAGCCCGGAGAAAUCCGGAUUAAUACCCCGUAGUAUUAGUAUCUGGCAUCGGAUAUUAAUUAAAGCUGAGGCGGUAGAGGAUAGCUAUGCGUCCUAUUAGUUAGUAGGUGAGGUAACGGCUCACCUAGGCAGCGAUAGGUAGGGGCCCUGAGAGGGGGAUCCCCCACACUGGUACUGAGACACGGACCAGACUCCUACGGGAGGCAGCAGUGAGGAAUAUUGGACAAUGGUCGAGAGACUGAUCCAGCCAUGCCGCGUGCAGGAAGACGGCCCUAUGGGUUGUAAACUGCUUUUGUACGGGAAGAAUAAUGCCCACGUGUGGGCAGAUGACGGUACCGUACGAAUAAGGACCGGCUAACUCCGUGCCAGCAGCCGCGGUAAUACGGAGGGUCCAAGCGUUAUCCGGAAUCAUUGGGUUUAAAGGGUCCGUAGGCGGAUCAGUAAGUCAGGGGUGAAAGUUUGCGGCUCAACCGUAAAAUUGCCUUUGAUACUGCUGGUCUUGAGUUACGGUGAAGUGGCCGGAAUAUGUGGUGUAGCGGUGAAAUGCAUAGAUAUCACAUAGAACACCGAUUGCGAAGGCAGGUCACUAACCGUAUACUGACGCUGAUGGACGAAAGCGUGGGGAGCAAACGGGAUUAGAUACCCCGGUAGUCCACGCCGUAAACGAUGGACACUAGCUGUCGGGCCUUAGGGCUCGGCGGCCAAGCGAAAGUGAUAAGUGUCCCACCUGGGGAGUACGUUCGCAAGAAUGAAACUCAAAGGAAUUGACGGGGGCCCGCACAAGCGGUGGAGCAUGUGGUUUAAUUCGAUGAUACGCGAGGAACCUUACCAGGGCUUAAAUGGGAGAUGACAGGAGCAGAGACGCUCUUUUCUUCGGACAUCUUUCAAGGUGCUGCAUGGUUGUCGUCAGCUCGUGCCGUGAGGUGUCAGGUUAAGUCCUAUAACGAGCGCAACCCCUACCGUUAGUUGCCAGCGAGUAAUGUCGGGGACUCUAACGGGACUGCCGGUGCAAACCGAGAGGAAGGUGGGGAUGACGUCAAAUCAUCACGGCCCUUACGUCCUGGGCUACACACGUGCUACAAUGGCCGGUACAGAGGGAAGCUACCCUGCAAAGGGAUGCGGAUCUAUAAAGCCGGUCACAGUUCGGAUCGGGGUCUGCAACCCGACCCCGUGAAGCUGGAAUCGCUAGUAAUCGGAUAUCAGCCAUGAUCCGGUGAAUACGUUCCCGGGCCUUGUACACACCGCCCGUCAAGCCAUGGAAGCCGGGAGUGCCUGAAGUCCGUCACCGCAAGGAGCGGCCUAGGGCAAGAUCGGUAACUAGGGCUAAGUCGUAACAAGGUAACCGUA